rnacentral:lncRNA from 1 species
ACCCGACUAAAGACAACUAACCUUCCCGCGUAACAAAGGCAAACUGGUAGAAAAAUGGCAAAAUUCAUCAAAUUAUAGAAUUGGUACAAAUCUGUACUCCCGAAAUGGCCGCUUGGCCUCUAUUUUGUGCAAAAAAAUCACCGCCAGAAUAAACCCCAGAGCAGGCCCCCAAAUCCUUCUGAUCUUUCGAAUCCCUAAAUUUGAUCUAUGUUCUCGAUUUUAUUUAAUUUUCUUCAAUAUUUGGUUUCAUGACAAAGGAGAACAGAGAAGGUCAUCAAAAUCGGAAUUGAUAGGUGAUUUUUUGGGGGGGGGGGGGG